rnacentral:sRNA from 1 species
CUAUCAAUGGUUUGCAGACUAUUUUUCUGCUUAGUUGUAUACUACAAAGUGUGAAAAGGAUUUGCCAAUGAAGCCACAUGCUAUGGUCUGUGGAGGGCCCGACUUAUGAGCUGAAGUUUUGGCCCUUUGUGUUUCAGUAUGGCUGUACCGCAUUACAUUAUGCCUGUGAAAUGAAAAACCAGUCUCUUAUCCCUCUGCUCUUGGAAGCCCGUGCAGACCCCACAAUAAAGAAUAAGCAUGGUGAGAGCUCACUGGAUAUUGCACGGAGAUUAAAAUUUUCCCAGAUUGAAUUAAUGCUAAGGAAAGCAUUGUAAUCCUUGUGACCACACCGAUGGAGAUACAGAAAAAGUUAACGACUGGAUUCUAUCUUCAUUUUAGACUGUUGGUCUGUGGGCCAUUUAACCUGGAUGCCACCAUUUUAUGGGGAUAAUGAUGCUUACCAUGGUUAAUGUUU